rnacentral:rRNA from 1 species
UACGUAGGUGGCAAGCGUUGUCCGGAUUUACUGGGCGUAAAGAGCGCGCAGGCGGUCGUUCAAGUCGCGUGUGAAAUCUCCCGGCUCAACUGGGAGGGGUCAGGCGAUACGGCGGGGCUCGAGGCAGGUAGGGGGAAGCGGAAUUCCCGGUGUAGUGGUGGAAUGCGUAGAUAUCGGGAGGAACACCAGUGGCGAAGGCGGCUUCCUGGACCUGAUCUGACGCUGAGGAGCGAAAGCGUGGGGAGCGAUCCGG